rnacentral:rRNA from 1 species
UACGGAGGGUGCAAGCGUUACUCGGAAUCACUGGGCGUAAAGCGCGCGCAGGCGGCUUGAUAAGUUGGAUGUGAAAGCCUACGGCUCAACCGUAGAACUGCAUCCAAAACUGUCAAGCUAGAGUCUGGGAGGGGAAGAUGGAAUUAGUUGUGUAGGGGUAAAAUCCGUAGAGAUAACUAGGAAUACCAAAAGCGAAGGCGAUAUUCUGGAACAGUACUGACGCUGAGGCGCGAAAGCGUGGGGAGCAAACAGGAUUAGAUACCCUGGUAGUCCACGCCCUAAACGAUGAAUGUUAGUCGUCGGAGGCCUAGUGUCUUCGGUGAUGCAGCUAACGCAUUAAACAUUCCGCCUGGGGAGUACGGUCGCAAGAUUAAAACUCAAAGGAAUAGACGGGGACCCGCACAAGUGGUGGAGCAUGUGGUUUAAUUCGAAGAUACGCGAAGAACCUUACCUAGCCUUGACAUAUAUUAGAACUCCGUAGAGAUACAGAGGUGCCUUCGGGAGCUUUUAUACAGGUGCUGCACGGCUGUCGUCAGCUCGUGUCGUGAGAUGUUGGGUUAAGUCCCGCAACGAGCGCAACCCUCGUCACUAGUUACUAACGGUUCGGCCGAGGACUCUAGUGAGACUGCCUUCGCAAGGAGGAGGAAGGUGAGGACGACGUCAAGUCAUCAUGGCCCUUACGGCUAGGGCAACACACGUGCUACAAUGGCCAGGACAGUGAGACGCGAUACCGCGAGGUGGAGCAAAUCUAUAAACCUGGUCUCAGUUCGGAUUGUAGUCUGCAACUCGACUACAUGAAGCUGGAAUCACUAGUAAUCGUAGAUCAGCUAUGCUACGGUGAAUACGUUCCCGGGUC